CCUAUGGGCGGCAGCAGUGGGGGAUAUUGCACAAUGGGGGAAACCCUGAUGCAGCGACGCAGCGUGAGUGAAGAAGUAUUUCGGUAUGGAAAGCUCUAUCAGCAGGGAAGAAAAAAGACGGUAGCUGACUAAGAAGCCCCGGCUAACUACGUGCCAGCAGCCGCGGUAAUAGGUAGGAGGCAAGCGUUAUCCGGAUUUACUGGGUGUAAGGGGAGCGUAGACGGCAAUACAAGUCGGAAGUGAAAUACCAGGGCUCAACCUUGGAACUGCUUUGGAAACUGGAUGGCUGGAGUGCUGGAGAGGUAAGCGGAAUUCCUAGUGUAGCGGUGAAAUGCGUAGAUAUUAGGAGGAACACCAGUGGCGAAGGCGGCUUACUGGACAGUAACUGACGUUGAGGCUCGAAAGCGUGGGGAGCAAACAGGAUUAGAUACCCUGGUAGUC
rnacentral:rRNA from 1 species